rnacentral:lncRNA from 1 species
AGAGAAAUGAUAAAUAGACACAAAAUUCUGGCCACAAAAUCAACACCAUGGGUAGUUUUGAUAUUUCAACCUUAAUUCCAGGACAGUUCGGUAAAAAUAGAACACACCAUCUUCUUUCUCUCACCUCUGUGCUGUUUUCUCUUACGUUCCUCUUCUUUCUUCCUCAUGGUUUCUAACCCACCACGACCUUCACUCUUUUCCGAUCUCGUCUCCCACCUGCCAAAUUCACUCAUCGUGCUGCUUCCUUCCUCUUCUCUAUCGCCACCUGCCGGAUUCGCUCAUCGUGCUGGACUCUUUCUUCUCUCUCUCACCGACGAAGAAUGGUGGUGGUGAUGGUGGCAUGUGAAUAGCAAGGAGGGGUUUGAAAAGAAGACCAAAGGGUGGUGGUGGUGGUGCUGUGAAUGGAGCUCAUAGUGGAUAUGAGGAGAGGGAUGUUGGUUGGUGAUGUGAUGGAAGAAGAAGGUUGAGAGGUGUUGUUGUUUGUGCGAACUGAGAAGGAGGAACGGCGAAAUGACGACAGUUAUCAAUGGUCAAUGGUCGGAGAGAGGAGCCGUGGUUGGGGGUUGUAGCUAUGGGUGGGAGAUGAGGGGAAAGGAAGCGGUGGGAAGGGAGAGAAGAGAGAAGAGAGAGAG